rnacentral:rRNA from 1 species
AGCUGGUCUGAGAGGACGACCAGCCACACUGGAACUGAGACACGGUCCAGACACCUACGGGUGGCAGCAGUCGAGGAUUUUUCUCAAUGGGGGAAACCCUGAAGGAGCGACGCCGCGUGGGGGAUGAAGGUCUUCGGAUUGUAAACCCCUGUCAUCUGGGAACAAUGUGAUCUACCCAACACGUGGAUUAUUGAUAGUACCGGAAGAGGAAGCCGUGGCAACUCUGGCCAGCAGCCGCGGUAAUACAGAGACGGCAAGCGUUGUUCGGAUUCAUUGGGCGUAAAGGGUGCGCAGGCGGCUCGUUAAGUCGGAUGUGAAAUCUCACAGCCUAACUGUGAUAGGUCAUUCGAAACUGGCGGGCUUGAGGACUGGAGAGGAGACUGGAAUAGUCGGUGUAGCGGUGAAAUGCGUAGAG